CCUACGGGUGGCUGCAGUGGGGAAUAUUGGGCAAUGGAGGCAACUCUUACCCAGCAAUGCCGCGUGAAUGAAGAAGGUCUUCGGAUUGUAAAGUUCUUUAAUUGGGGACGAAAAAAAUGACGGUACCCAAGGAAUAAGCCCCGGCUAACUACGUGCCAGCAGCCGCGGUAAUACGGAGGAUGCGAGCGUUAUCCGGAUUUAUUGGGUUUAAAGGGUGCGUAGGCGGAUUUUUAAGUCAGCGGUAAAAUGUCCGGGCUCAACCCGGGCCGGCCGUUGAAACUGGGGAUCUUGAGUGGGCGAGAAGUAUGCGGAAUGCGUGGUGUAGCGGUGAAAUGCAUAGAUAUCACGCAGAACUCCGAUUGCGAAGGCAGCAUACCGGCGCCCGACUGACGCUGAGGCACGAAAGCGUGGGGAUCGAACAGGAUUAGAUACCCGGGUAGUC
rnacentral:rRNA from 1 species